AACGAACGCUGGCGGCAUGCCUAACACAUGCAAGUCGAACGAGACCUUCGGGUCUGGUGGCGCACGGGUGCGUAACGCGUUGGAACCUGCCUUUAGGUUUGGAAUAACUCAGAGAAAUUUGAGCUAAAACCGGAUGAUGUCCUCGGACCAAAGAUUUUUCGCCUUUAGAUGGGCCCGCGUUGGAUUAGCUAGUUGGUGGGGUAAAGGCCUACCAAGGGCACGUUCCAUAGCUGGUCUGAGAGGAUGAUCAGCCACACUGGGACUGAGACACGGCCCAGACUCCUACGGGAGGCAGCAGUGGGGAAUAUUGGACAAUGGGCGAAAGCCUGAUCCAGCAAUGCCGCGUGAGUGAUGAAGGCCUUAGGGUUGUAAAGCUCUUUUACCCGAGAUGAUAAUGACAGUAUCGGGAGAAUAAGCUCCGGCUAACUCCGUG
rnacentral:rRNA from 1 species